CAGCCGCCGCGGUAAUACCGGCGGCCCGAGUGGCGGUCACUAUUAUUGGGCUUAAAGCGUCCGUAGCCGGGGUGGGUAGUCUCCCGGGAAAUCUGGCCGCUUAACGGUCAGAAUUCCGGGAGAUACUGCCAGCCUAGGGACCGGGAGAGGCCGAGGGGAUUCCCGGAGUAGGGGGGAAAUCCUAUAAUCCCGGGAGGACCACCUGUGGCGAAGGCGCUCGGCUGGAACGGGUCCGACGGUGAGGGACGAAGGCCAGGGGAGCAAACCGGAUUAGAUACCCGGGUAGUCCUGGCUGUAAACGAUGCGGACUUUGUGUCGGACAAGCUAUGAGCUUGUCCGGUGCCGGAGGGAAACCGUUAAGUCCGCCGCCUGGGGAGUACGGCCGCAAGGCUGAAACUUAAAGGAAUUGGCGGG
rnacentral:rRNA from 1 species